rnacentral:lncRNA from 1 species
UCAAAGAAAAGAGAGAGAAUGAUCGGCGGCGUCGAUAGGCGGAAGAGAAGAGAAAGGCAAACAAAUCUAGAGCCAGAGAGCCACGGUGGUCCCACGGAAGAAGGAAGAGAAUGAUUUUUGCACUUCAAUCAAUCAAUUUCUCAAACGACAUCAAUUUUUGCGUUUAUCCCGGCUAAUUUUUAUUUUUAAAUUUUUAAUUGCUUUUUUUUUUCUCUCUCUAACUACACAUUUAUAAUUUAGCGAUAUUAACCAAUGAUAUUAAUAGUUCAAAUUAAUCAUUUUUUUUACU